rnacentral:rRNA from 1 species
GAUAAACGCUGGCGGCGCACAUAAGACAUGCAAGUCGAACGGACUUAAUCGAAAUAUUUAUAUUUUGAAGCGGUUAGUGGCGGACUGGUGAGUAACGCGUGAGGAACCUGCCUAUUAGAGGGGAAUAACAGUGAGAAAUCAUUGCUAAUACCGCAUAUGCCAUAGAUAUCACAUGAUAACAGUGGGAAAAGGAGCAAUCCGCUAAUAGAUGGCCUUGCGUCUGAUUAGAUAGUUGGUGGGGUAACGGCCUACCAAGUCGACGAUCAGUAGCCGGACUGAGAGGUUGAACGGCCACAUUGGGACUGAGAUACGGCCCAGACUCCUACGGGAGGCAGCAGUCGGGAAUAUUGCGCAAUGGAGGAAACUCUGACGCAGUGACGCCGCGUAUAGGAAGAAGGUUUUCGGAUUGUAAACUAUUGUCGUUAGGGAAAAGAAAGGACAGUACCUAAGGAGGAAGCUCCGGGCUAACUACGUGCCAGCAGCCGCCGGUAAGUAU